CUACAGACAGGCAGGGGCCUCCCCCUGCUUCCUCCAGCCCAGUGCCCACCCCCUCCAGCCCUGGGCCCCGUGCCCACCCCUAUUUCUGCAGAGGCCCCAGUGGUGUCACCUGAAUCCCUGGAAAUGGGCAAGGGGCGGGGUCAGGGAAGGCCCUAGAUUCAGAAGAAAAGAUACCUCACCUUCUCUUCCACCCCUCUCCAGCAGGCCAUGGAAGGGAGGUUCUCUUCUAAGCCAAACCCCAGGGCUCACCCCUUCUCAGCCCUCAGCCCUGGGGCUCUCUGCACCUGCUUUACACCCGUUGGCAAAACUGCCUCCGCCUUGUCUUUGGGGCCAGAGGACCAGUCUCUGCUUGCUCCUGCUGUCCCUCUGCUCCGCGAUCCUCUAUCUCAGGACACCCCCACAACUCUGCAUUUGGAGACAGGGAGAGUGGGAGAGAACAUUCCUCCCCAACCCCUCCCCCACAACCCUGCUCUUCUGCCAUGGCAGCCCGUGUUCCCUGCUGCUCCUGCCACAGCCCUCCCAGGGCCACAGGCCCGUCCUCCAGCCAUCCAUGGCCUCAAGAAGCCCACUGCUUACCGAAGGGAUCUGGGAAAAUGGGAUCUUCUCCAGCAGACAGCAGCUCUCAGGCUGGAGUGGGCAGAGCAGGCAUUGGCGUUUGUAAGUGGUCACCCGGCUGCUUCUUCUGUGGCCUUGUCAAGAGUCUCAUCCCUGCCUACGGGCACCCCUGGCCCUGGAGCUGCCUGGGGAGCAGCUGAGUGAACGGCCUGACCAGCAGGAGAGGAAGGGCCUUCCAGGCUCAGUCCCCCAUGCCCAGGAUCACAGGAGGAUAUCGUCGAGAUGGGCUUGGAUUGGUCCUGGGGGCCCAGGGCAUGCUGCUAACUGGUGUACCCAAAUGGCCAGGAGCAGCCCGAGGCCCCCAUCCCGGUUCCCACAUCUCUGGCACUGGUAGCUCGAGGCCCAUGUUCUCAGUUCUUGGGACUGAGAACUGCAGCAGUCUGGCCAGCCCCAAGGCAGAGUGGCCCAGCCUCCUGCCAUCUGCCCUCCUCAGCUGCCCGCUGGAGCCGGGACCGAAUGAAGACCUCUGGCUGCCUCACCCCGGGAUGAGGCUGGACGGUGGCUGCCAUGUGCCCCUGCGGUUGCCCACAGCCAAGGCCCGAUGGUGUGCUUCUUUGUGCCAAGUGUCCUGCUGGCCCUUCUCAUCCACCCAACCCCGUCCACCCUGGACGCCCUGUCAGCCUGCUGACCCCAUGCACAGACCUUGGGGCGCCUCUGAGGGACAAAAGUGACUCGGGGCUGCAGGAGCGCAGAGGGGGUGUGAGGAGCCUCCUUGGGUCUGACAUUCAGAUGUGACCCUUUCCAGCCCUGAUCUCACCCUCUGGGUGACUAGGUGCCCAGCCCCAGCCUCUUCCUGGGCCAUCCAGGAAGGGAGGAGGAGGGCUCAUAACAGAGAGCGCGCGCGCGCACACACACACUGUGUGCGUGAGUUCCUGCGUGCACUGCUCCUGCGUGCGUGCUGCGUGGGCGGGGAUGGAGCUGUUGAGCAGGAGGAGCUUCUCUGGGCUCUGAGUCCUCCCUGUGCAAGUCGGAGGUGGAGGGUUCCAGCCAGGGCAAGGAGGCUGCUCUCCAACAGGGAGAAAUGAGCCUCAGGCGUCCCUGUCCUCAGAGGUCCCCACUGCAGAGCGCUCCAACCCCUGCAAAGGGCCACAUCUGCAUCUGCUUCAGCUAGAGCUGUGCUGGCCCCAAAGACUGGCCCUCCGCAUCUUGUUCCUGCCCCACUUUCUGGCCCAUCACACCAGGUGGUGGCCACGCCAGGUGGUGGCGUGUUGCAGCUUUCAUGCCUCCCCUCCCACCUCUCUCUGCCCCACCGGCCCUUGCUGCGUGAGGGGGUCUCCCUGCACUUUAUUUAUUUGCAGUCUGUUUUCCAGGCAGAGCUUCUGCAAAUUCCGACACCGACCAGAAUGACGUCCUUUCUGCGUGUGAUUCACUGUACUGGUCAGCACAGGCUGGUCGGAGAAAUGUUCUUGUUUCUGGUGUUGUCACGUCUUAUCGUUUGUCUGAGUUUUAAAAAAAAUAAGUCCUUGAUUCAGUAAACGACAAUCCCGACUGGAGGCCUCCUGUUUCUGGUGGGUGUGAUGCAAUAGCCUGGGAAGAGAGAGGCCCGGUGGUGAGGUCACCAGCUCUGAUGGCCAGGAGCUUGGCGGGGACAAGCCUCAAAGGGGCUCAGGGGGCCGGGGCCAGGCCUGGGCGGGGACAGAGGCCUGGGGCUGUGGCAGGGAACUUGUUGCCUCCGGAAGCUGUGCCAAGACCUAAAGUGACCCAGAACACUAUCCAGGGAGAAGCAGGCAGCAGCCUAACCUGGCCCCAAGAGGUGGCAGUUUGACCCCUUCACAGCCUUUGUUCAAAUGACCUAAAACGUAAGCCUUUUUUUUCCAUUUUAUAGCCUGGUGUUCAAAAGUGCUGCAUUCAGUUGAGCCCCGAGGGUGGGCAAGGGUGAAGUGAAGUGAAACAGACUGUCUGCUGGUCAUUUUAUGUAUCCCUGACACUCCUCUCCCUGCCAGGGGCCUCUCCCUGCCAGCCAUGUGGCUCUGGAGUCUUGGAGUAGAUAAACCACAGAGUCCCAGAGCCCAUGUCCCUUCCCCCACCUUGGACCCAAACUCUGUCCUGUGAGAGCUCCACUCCCCAUGGAUCCCCAAAGAAACCUGGCCAAGGACUCUGGAGCUGCAGCAGCUGCAGGGGUUGGCAGAUGGCAGGGGACUGGGGAGUAGGUCUGGCAGGAGGGCAGAGGGCUGGGGAGGAGGGCAGCGGGGCAUGUUAGAGGAAGGAGCACAGAGCUAGUGGGGAGGCAUCUUGAGGACAGGGUGCUAUGCUCAUACUGAGGAGCACAGCCUAGGAUUAGGGGCCCUGGGUCCACUCCCUACCUGUCGCCAAGGGCUACCCAGGGGUCAGAGCACUCUGACAAGAAGGACCCUUCCAACAGCACUGGUGGUGAUGCCUUGCGGCAUGUGCCACCCACAGGAGGGGUGGACCUCAGUCCUUGAGCUUCCCUCCCCUUCAUCCAGAUGGUUCUGUUCAGUCCCUGAUGGUCCCAUGCCCACUGCUGGGACGUCCUCACUCAGCAAACCAAGAGGGGAGAUGAUCAGCCCAGAGCUGGGUCCUAGGCCUCGUCGAGAGGGAGGACCACCCCUCCCACCCUUCAUCCCGCCCCCUGCUACAGAGGAGGACAGGCAGGCUGGCCCUGCCCUGGUGAAAAGUGGUGCCCAGAAGAUCAAAGCCCUGUGACCUGAGCUCACCUCUUCCACCUGUGACUGUGUGGCCCCAGGCAACCCCUGCACACCCACAGGUUUUAGGAAGGAUCCUUCGGGGUCCUUGCGGGCAUGUAAUGUGAAGUCUUAAAAUAUUUGUCAUCACGUCUCACCUGGAGCAGCCUUGUUACUUUGAGGAAAGGGAACCAAGUGGAGGGGACUGGCACCUGAUGAGAGCCUGCCGUGUUCCGGGCACCACGCUAGGCGCACCACCUAACCGUUAUCCCCAUUUCACAGAGAACCCAAGGAUGGGAGCCCAGUCUGAAAUAGAUCCCCAAGCAGAAGCUCUUUUCUGGAGCCCCCAAUCCCCCCUGGACCGGCAGGGAAUCGGGCUGGAAAGAAGGAGGAUUGGCAAAGGUGGAAGAUGACCCUGUCCUUUCUGGGUGAGGUCCAGGAGACAUAAGAAAUCUAGGGCUUGGGGAACAGGCCUGGGGCCUUGCUGAGAUUGGCCCACAUGUCUUCCCUCCAUCCCAUCUCUGGAGACUGGGACCUAAGCAACUGCGUCAGUAGAAAGCAAGAUAGCAGCUAAACAUGCAGUUCCAGGGGGCACCAGAGCAGAUAAGAAAAAGAAAUAUAAAGGGCAUGCACACUCCCAUCCUACGCCUACUCUACCCCACCCCCAAGGGAGACUGUUGGGUUUUCCAUGAACUUUCACUUGGGGGGAGGGGAACAUACUACUUUGAAACCUUCUUCUUUCACUUUAUGUUUAUCUUUCCAUGUUAUUAUUUUUCCAUAUCAAAAACUACCUAGUAAUGCCUUGAAUGGAGGUAUCAUUAUGUAUUUCUCAAUGUCUCUUGGUUAUUUCCCUUUCUUGUUGUAUGUUUGGGGAGUUGGGUUUUUUGGUUAUUGGUGGUGUUUGGUUUUAUUUUUGUUUUGUUUCUAUAAAUGAGGCAGUGACAGAAAAGCUGGAUUUCAUGACAAUUUUAAAACUUUUGUGCAUCCAAGGAUACUACCAAGAAAGUGAAAAGACACCCUAUUGAGUGGGAGCAAAUAUUUUAAAAUGUAUUUCUGAUAAGAGAUUUGUACCCAGAAUUAUAAAAAGAAUUCUAGCUACGCAACAACAAAAAAGUCAAACAACCCAAUUUAAAUAUGGGCAAAAGGUUAGAAUAGACAUUUCUCCAAAGGAGGUAUACAAAUUGCCACCAAGCACAUGAAUAGAUGCUCAAAAGCAUUAGUCAUUAGGGAAAUGCAAAUCAACACUACAAUGAGAUACCACUUCACAGCGUGGGAUGGUUAUUUAAAAAGACAGAAAAUGACAAGUGUUGGUGAGGAUGUAAAGAAAUUGGAAUCCUUAUUCUUUGCUGGUGGGCAUGUAAUAUGGUAUAGCCACUAUGGAAAACAGUUUGGUGGUUUCUCAAAAUGUUAAGCCUAGAAUUAUCCUAUGGCCCAGCAAUUCCACUCCUAGCUAUACUCAAAGGAAAGAAAGCAUAUGAAAUGUUCAGAAUAGGUAAAUCCAUAGAGAGAGAAAGCAGGUUAAUGGCUGCCAUGGGCCAGGGGAGGCAGAAGGGAGAAUGAUUGCUUAAUGAGUACAAGGUCUCCUUUUAGGGACAUGAAAAUGUUUUGCAAUUAAACAGUGGUGAUGGUUAUGCAACAUUGUGAAAGUACUAAAUGCCACUGAGUCGUACAUUUUUAAAAUGGUUAAUUUUGUUAUCUGGAUUUCAACUCAAUAAUGAAAAAUAGUAUUUGCUGAUGUACAUUGUUGUUUCACUAUUGGCCUCAUCCAUAGGUGAACUUCUCUCCUGGCCUUUCAUUCAAUCCUCUACAGCCCUUGCUCUGCCCUUGUGAUAUUGAAAGUUAACAAAAGUUGCCCCUUCCCAUUAAUUCCCAAGCAAUCCUAGCCCUCGGUUCUUUCCCCAUUAGAGCAUCUCAGUCAGAGAGCAGAGAUCUCUAGUGAAUGAUCAUGUCCUCAGGACUGACCUGGCCACAUUGCCCAACUGCCUGCCCAGUGGAGAGCAGCACAGACUUCUUGACACUUCUUCCUGGCCUUGCACUUUAC
ensembl:lincRNA